rnacentral:rRNA from 1 species
UGCCCUUGACUUCGGGAUAAGCCUGGGAAACCGGGUCUAAUACCGGAUACGACCUCCUGGCGCAUGCCAUGGGGGUGGAAAGCUUUAUGCGGUUUUGGAUGGACUCGCGGCCUAUCAGCUUGUUGGUUGGGGUAAUGGCCCACCAAGGCGACGACGGGUAGCCGGCCUGAGAGGGUGACCGGCCACACUGGGACUGAGACACGGCCCAGACUCCUACGGGAGGCAGCAGUGGGGAAUAUUGCACAAUGGGCGAAAGCCUGAUGCAGCGACGCCGCGUGAGGGACGAAUGCCUUCGGGUUGUAAACCUCUUUCAGCAGGGAAGAAGCGAAAGUGACGGUACCUGCAGAAGAAGCGCCGGCUAACUACGUGCCAGCAGCCGCGGUAAUACGUAGGGCGCAAGCGUUAUCCGGAAUUAUUGGGCGUAAAGAGCUCGUAGGCGGUUUGUCGCGUCUGCUGUGAAAGCCCGGGGCUCAACCCCGGGUCUGCAGUGGGUACGGGCAGACUAGAGUGAUGUAGGGGAGACUGGAAUUCCUGGUGUAGCGGUGAAAUGCGCAGAUAUCAGGAGGAACACCGAUGGCGAAGGCAGGUCUCUGGGCAUUAACUGACGCUGAGGAGCGAAAGCAUGGGGAGCGAACAGGAUUAGAUACCCUGGUAGUCCAUGCCGUAAACGUUGGGCACUAGGUGUGGGGGACAUUCCACGUUUUCCGCGCCGUAGCUAACGCAUUAAGUGCCCCGCCUGGGGAGUACGGC